GGGCCCUUAGCUUAGUGGUAGAGCGCUUCAUUUGCAAUGAAGAGGUCACCGGUCCGAAUCCGGUAGGGUCCACCA
rnacentral:tRNA from 1 species